GCCCAGGUGGCGGAAUUGGUAGACGCGCUGGACUUAAAAUCCAGUAGCCAAUUGCGGCUGUACCGGUUCGACUCCGGUCCCGGGCA
rnacentral:tRNA from 1 species